rnacentral:rRNA from 1 species
UACGAAGGGGGCUAGCGUUGUUCGGAAUUACUGGGCGUAAAGCGCACGUAGGCGGACUAUUAAGUCAGGGGUGAAAUCCCGGAGCUCAACUCCGGAACUGCCUUUGAUACUGGUAGUCUAGAGACCGAGAGAGGUAAGUGGAACUCCUAGUGUAGAGGUGGAAUUCGUAGAUAUUAGGAAGAACACCAGUGGCGAAGGCGGCUUACUGGCUCGGAACUGACGCUGAGGUGCGAAAGCGUGGGGAGCAAAC